rnacentral:rRNA from 1 species
UACAGAGGGUGCAAGCGUUAAUCGGAAUUACUGGGCGUAAAGCGCGCGUAGGUGGUUCGUUAAGUUGGAUGUGAAAUCCCUCGGCUUAACCGGGGAACUGCGUCUGAUACUGGAUGGCUUGAGGUUGGGAGAGGGAUGCGGAAUUCCCGGUGUAGUGGUGAAAUGCGUAGAUAUCGGGAGGAACACCAGUGGCGAAGGCGACUACCUGGCCUGUUCUUGACGCUGAGGCGCGAAAGCUAGGGGAGCAAACGGG